AUUAUUUUUAAUUGACAUAGACCAAGUCCUCUAUUAAAAUGAGGAUGA
rnacentral:tRNA from 1 species